rnacentral:rRNA from 1 species
AUUGAACGCUGGCGGCAGGCUUAACACAUGCAAGUCGAGCGGAGAUGAGGUGCUUGCACCUUAUCUUAGCGGCGGACGGGUGAGUAAUGCUUAGGAAUCUGCCUAUUAGUGGGGGACAACAUUCCGAAAGGAAUGCUAAUACCGCAUACGUCCUACGGGAGAAAGCAGGGGAUCUUCGGACCUUGCGCUAAUAGAUGAGCCUAAGUCGGAUUAGCUAGUUGGUGGGGUAAAGGCCUACCAAGGCGACGAUCUGUAGCGGGUCUGAGAGGAUGAUCCGCAACACUGGGACUGAGACACGGCCCAGACUCCUCCGGGGGGCGGCAGUGGGGAAUAUUGGACAAUGGGGGGAACCCUGAUCCAGCCAUGCCGCGUGUGUGAAGAAGGCCUUAUGGUUGUAAAGCACUUUAAGCGAGGAGGAGGCUACUGAGACUAAUACUCUUGGAUAGUGGACGUUACUCGCAGAAUAAGCACCGGCUAACUCUGUGCCAGCAGCCGCCGUAA